UCCAGGGAAAUCUCAGAUGAAACUGACAAGGGCACUGUUGGAAGCAGAAGUAUCAAAUGUGACAGACGUAAAUUACGGUUGGAACCUAAGAAAAGAGUACGUUUCCAGCUUGCGACAAAUGAAGAUGACAAAGAAUGCAGUCAGACAGCGAAUGAGGAGGAGAAUAGCAGAGAAGAAGAUGGAAAACGUAAGCGCAAGCUUGAUUAUAGGGGCCAAACUCAACCCCAAACAAAACGAAGACGUACUAUAGAAUCUAAGAAGAACAGUUUCACUAUUUCAAGGCGAAUGAGAGAAAUUCUCAUGCAAGGCCGCGAGCUUACGGAUGAGCAUAUUUCUCUUGCUCACAACAUACUAAAGAAACAGUUUCCACACAUUGAUGGCCUACAGUCACCGUUACUUGCACAGACGAAUGGUUUUAUCCCAGUCCAGCAUGAGGGCAUCCAGAUACAUCACGUCCCUGAGCGAAGCCAUUGGGUAACUUCUAGUUGCUGUGGCCAACAUAUAUCAGUUUAUGACAGCAAAGAGGCCGGUUUUCAACUUAGUACUUCUCUCAGUCACCAGUUAGCCUUGAUUUAUAGGCUGGCGGUAGAAGAUGAUA